UGCAUGGUUGUCAUCAGCUCGUGUCGUGAGAUGUUGGGUUAAGUCCCGCAACGAGCGCAACCCUCGACCUUAGUUGCCAGCAUUCAGUUGGGCACUCUAAGGUGACUGCCGGCUAAAAGUCGGAGGAAGGUGGGGAUGACGUCAAAUCAUCAUGCCCCUUAUGACCUGGGCUACACACGUGCUACAAUGGGCGGUACAAAGGGUCGCGAACCCGCGAGGGGGAGCCAAUCCCAAAAAGCCGCUCUCAGUUCGGAUUGCAGGCUGCAACUCGCCUGCAUGAAGCCGGAAUCGCUAGUAAUCGCGGAUCAGCAUGCCGCGGUGAAUACGUUCCCGGGCCUU
rnacentral:rRNA from 1 species